rnacentral:rRNA from 1 species
CAUUUGUUCUUUAAAUAAGGACUUGUAUGAAUGGCCACACGAGGGUUCCACUGUCUCUUACUUCUAAUCAGUGAAAUUGACCUCCCCGUGAAGAGGCGGGGAUAGCCAAAUAAGACGAGAAGACCCUAUGGAGCUUCAACUAACUAAUUCAAAGAGAAUAAGUUCAACCGCCAAGGGAUAAUCACAUCCUUCAUGAAUUAGCAGUUUCGGUUGGGGUGACCUCGGAGAACAAAAAAUCCUCCGAGCGAUUUUAAAGAUAAGACACACAAGUCAAACCAAACUAUCGCUUAUUGAUCCAAAAAUUGAUCAACGGAAUAAGUUACCCUAGGGAUAACAGCGCA